UAUUUACACGCGCUACCGUUUUUACUCAUGGCAAUCAGAGUGGUGUCGAGUGCGUGCGCGGUUUGUACGAGAGGGCUGAUCAAACACGUGCCAGCCAAAUCGGUGAUCACGAGCGCGGUCACAAGCACGUGGAACAAGUCUAGGAAACAGCAUGUGAUAACAACUGAUCAUCAGAGAUAAGGCCGGAGGAAGCAUUUUACCUCUAUUUGAUGGUGACUCAUUCAAGCCAUUUGUUUUCCUGUGAUGCCUCCUGUAGCUGGACCACUGCAACUGCAGACACUGAUUGCAGAUCUUGAAACUCGGAUUAUAAUUAUGAAGCCAUGACCAUAUGAGAUGGAUUGAAUGGGAAUUUUAGAGCAGGGAUGUUGUGCUGGAGUUGAUUUUUUAUUUCUGGUCUAAAAUGCCAUGACCUUUAAAAACUUUGAAUCCUGAAACUCCAGGGAAAUCAAGUGCUAACUGACUGAUAAAUAAAGACAGACAUGUCAAUAAAUAAUAUUUAUAAUAAAAUUAUAGAAUCAUGUCCUAUCUUAUUCUUUUGUAACAGUUGCUACACUGUUGGUCUCCUUAUUGUUUGUAAAGGGGGUAAUAUUUUUUAUGUAUAUGGAUAAAACAACUUUCCAAUCCCUGUUUAAUUUCCAAAAUAAAUACACAAGAACAUUAA